CAGGUGCUGCAUGGCUGUCGUCAGCUCGUGUCGUGAGAUGUCGGUUAAGUCCGCUAACGAGCGCAACCCUCGCUGUGUGUUACAAGUGUCACACGGAACUGCCGGUCAUAAACCGGAGGAAGUGGGGAUGACGUCAAGUCAGCAUGGCCUUUAUAUCCUGGGCUACACACACGCUACAAUGGGAAGGGACAAUAGGUUGCGAAGCCGCGAGGCGGAGCCAAUCCAGCAAAACUUCCCUCAGUUCAGAUUGCAGGCUGCAACUCGCCUGCAUGAAGUUGGAGUUGCUAGUAAACGCAGGUCAGCCAUACUGCGUUGAAUACGUUCCCGGGGCUU
rnacentral:rRNA from 1 species